UUUAGUCAGGCAACGAGCGAGACCCACGCCAACAGUUGCCAGCUCGUCCUCCGGGAUGGUGGGGACACUGUUGGGACCGCCUCUGCUAAAGAGGAGGAAGGAAUGGGCAACGGUAGGUCAGCAUGCCCCGAAUUAUCCGGGCUACACGCGGGCUACAAUGGGUGGGACAAUGGGUAUCGACACCGAAAGGUGAAGGCAAUCUCCUAAACCCAUCCUUAGUUCGGAUUGUGGGCUGCAACUCGCCCACAUGAAGCUGGAAUCUGUAGUAAUCGUGUCUCAACAUGGCACGGUGAAUAUGUCCCUGCUCCUUGCACA
rnacentral:rRNA from 2 species